rnacentral:lncRNA from 1 species
UCAUAAACAAUUUUUUCUUAAGUGGUCUUUAAUAGUAGAUAAAAAUAGGAAUUUAGAUCAGAAAUGCCGAGAGAAAAUCGAAGACAAUGGACCAAUCCCGAAAUAUCUUCUAUUAAUGGGCUCGGCCCAAUCCAACACAAAACAAAACCCAAAUCGAUCAAAACGUUGCGUUUUGUCUUCGCUUAUAACUCGAUUCAGAGACGAAAGGAGAGGCAGCAGCAGCAAGCGGCGGCCGUCAUGGAUUCAUCAUCGUCGAACACAAACAAAGCGUUAACGGAGACGCGUUUCUCCGACCUCGAACUUCCGCUCUCCGAAGACAUCAUCGAGGCCCUCGAACGGUCCGGUUUCGAGUUCUGCACUCCGGUUCAGGCCGCGACGAUCCCUUUGCUCUGCCGCCACAAGGAUGUCGCCGUCGACGCCGCCCUCGAGAACUACCGAUCGGUGACGACUCUCCAUGCGUCGGACGAUGAAGGAACCGUUGUGGUGGAGUCAUAUGUCGUCGAUGUGCCGCCGGGGAACACGGAGGAGGAGACUCUUAGCUUUGUGGAUACUAUCGUCCGGUGCAACCUUCAGAGUCUUGCUAGAAGUACCAACCGGCAAUAAUCUCGUCUGUAAAUUUAUUGCAAUUAUGUUAUGUAUAUGUUAUUAUUUUAAAUAAAAACAUUUCCUCUGGAUGUUUCAAUCAUCACAAGGAAGUGAAGUUCGAGAGAACCUAUUUGUAAAUUACUAGAUAGAUUUUUUUAGUUUUAAAAUAAUUGUAAUUUCGUGGGAUUUGUUUGAGUUGGCAGAUUUAUGUAGUUAAUACUGAAUCCAGAAAAGUUGGAUUUGGAGGUUGGUAUACGUAAUAACAUUCCGAGUUGAGUCUGUUACGUGGGAUGAUAGUUUCAUGAAUGUAUUAUAUACGCCGGUGGGAAAUUAAACACUUUUUUACAGAAUAUAUUUUCUUAAUUUUUAUAUACGUAAGGUACCAUAUACGUAGCUACACUGUAUUUAAGAUUAUGAUAUUUCUAAAAAAAAUUCUGAACACUAGAUUAUGAUAUUUCAGAGUGCUUAUGGAAAAUCUGAAAGUCUCUUGCAAGAUUCAAAAAUAAGAAAACAACAUUGAAAAUUUGAAAUUCUUAGUUAAAUGGUUCAACAUUGAUUGUUACGUUUAAUAUAAACUCUUAGUUAGAAUUGUUUGAGCCAGAUACAAAGAGAGAGAGGUGUUCAUGUAUGCCGGAUUGUAUGGAGACUACAGCUAGUUCAGUUGACCGGUUGAGCAAUCGUCCGACGAGGUUGAAUUUUAAAUGAGUGAUAAUUUAUUUAAAUAAAAUAAUUUUUAAAAAAGUUUUUUUUUGUUAAUUUAUCUAUUUAAUAUAUUUUCAUAUUUAAUUCAUAAAUCACUUCUGUUUUAUAUAAUACUGAAUAUAAUUAUAGAAUUUAUAAGAUAGGAUAGAAGUUUUAUUUUCUUGUUUUAAUAAUAUUAUAUUAUUAAUGAUGAAAUUAAUUAAUAUGUUAUUUUAUAAAAAUAUUUAAAAUUUUAGUAAGAUUUUGUUAGAUUUUUUCUUAAAUUUAUAGUUAAUUUAUUAUUAAUGCAAAUAGGUCAUAAACAAUUUUUUCUUAAGUGGUCUUUAAUAGUAGAUAAAAAUAGGAAUUUAGAUCAGAAAUGCCGAGAGAAAAUCGAAGACAAUGGACCAAUCCCGAAAUAUCUUCUAUUAAUGGGCUCGGCCCAAUCCAACACAAAACAAAACCCAAAUCGAUCAAAACGUUGCGUUUUGUCUUCGCUUAUAACUCGAUUCAGAGACGAAAGGAGAGGCAGCAGCAGCAAGCGGCGGCCGUCAUGGAUUCAUCAUCGUCGAACACAAACAAAGCGUUAACGGAGACGCGUUUCUCCGACCUCGAACUUCCGCUCUCCGAAGACAUCAUCGAGGCCCUCGAACGGUCCGGUUUCGAGUUCUGCACUCCGGUUCAGGCCGCGACGAUCCCUUUGCUCUGCCGCCACAAGGAUGUCGCCGUCGACGCCGCCACCGGCUCGGGAAAA